UUUUAAGCAGUCUCAAUUAAUUAAAAAAAAAAGAAAAGAAAGCAGCAUCAUAAUCUCAGAGGGACAGAUUCCCAUCAAGAUAAAGGUGCGUCAGUAUCUCCUUCGUAAUGGUGUAAACCGGGAGCUGUAAACUGGGGGCAGCAUGGAUUCAAUGGAAAAAUGGUUUGAAGCAGCUUAAGAAAAUGGGAUACUGGUAAGCGUGAAAAGGCAUCAGUAAUGAUGAGGAUGCAUGAGGCAGCGCUGGGAAUCAGUGCUGGUAUUCCUGCUCCUGUG